AUCAUUACACAAAUAUGAAGGCGGGCUGGAAUCUCUCGGGGUUACAGCCUUGCUGAAUUAUUCACCCUUGGGUCUUUUGCGUACUUCUGUUUCCUUGGUGGGUUCGCCCACCACUAGGACAAACAUAAACCUUUUGUAAUUGCAAUCAGCGUCAGUAACAAAUUAAUAAUUACAACUUUCAACAACGGAUCUCUUGGUUCUGGCAUCGAUGACCAGAACGCAGCGAAAUGCGAUAAGUAGUGUGAAUUGCAGAAUUCAGUGAAUCAUCGAAUCUUUGAACGCACAUUGCGCCCUUUGGUAUUCCAAAGGGCAUGCCUGUUCGAGCGUCAUUUGUACCCUCAAGCUUUGCUUGGUUUGUUGGGCGUCUUGUCUCUAGCUUUGCUGGAGACUCGCCUUAAAGUAAUUGGCAGCCGGCCUACUGGUUUCGGAGCGCAGCACAAGUCGCACUCUCUAUCAGCAAAGGUCUAGCAUCCAUUAAGCCUUUUUUCAACUUUUGACCUCGGAUCAGGUAGGGAUACCCGCUGAACUUAAG
rnacentral:rRNA from 1 species